AUUCCAGCUCCAAUAGCGUAUAUUAAAGUUGUUGCGGUUAAAAAGCUCGUAGUUGGAUUUCUGUACAGUCCCGGUUCUGGCUUCGGUCAAGCCGUGGAUUGUGCAUCCGCUUGCAAAUCUAGCUCGGCCUUCACUGGUCGACUAGGGGAGUAAGCCCUUUACUUUGAAAAAAUUAGAGUGUUUCAGGCAGGCAAUGGCUCGAAUACAUUAGCAUGGAAUAAUGGAAUAGGACUUUUGUCCAUUUGGUUGGUUAUUGGACAUGAGUAAUGGUUAAAAGGGACAGUUGGGGGCAUUAGUAUUUAAUAGUCAGAGGUGAAAUUCUUGGAUUUAUUAAAGACUAACUUAUGCGAAAGCAUUUGCCAAGGAUGUUUUCAUUA
rnacentral:rRNA from 1 species